UUGAGAAAGAGAGAAUAGGGAAGAAAAGGGUUCGAUUGAAAAGUUUAACUAAACUUUUAAACGCCUGUGUUUUGAGUGCUUCAUCAAUGGCGCUUUACCUGCUCUGAAGUAUAUGGCCGGAGUACGUACUCUCUGUACCUGACUCACGGCCGGUCUCGAUCAGGUUGGGCAGAGCACUGAGGCGGUUCAGGGCUCUGUUUCGGAUAUAAACCGAUUCAGGAAGGGGGUUUAGCUUAUAGCUUUUUGCACAUUUGACACAUCCGAUGAUGCCUUAAAGGCUUAAACCAAUGCAUCGAAGUCUCUCUAGGGGCUAUGAGUUAUGAACUGAGGAACUUUUUGGAACUUAACCUUCCAAAAGUUAAGGACGGUGAGUAGCUGAACCAAAGAUCAGGUCUCACAUUUUUUGAAGUCACCAAAAUUCCUUGCCAAAGUAAUCAGUCUGUUCAUGAGCUGCUUUGUGGAAUUCGGCCACAUUUUGACAGGUUUCUCAAGCACUUAAAGGUUUUAAUUACUCCAAAAAUUUCCUUAUAAAUGUCUAUUACACUGUCUUCAGCGAUGUUCUAAUUUUCAGUUUGUUGGUUUAAGAUAUAGAAAGACAAAUAUGAUCCUUUAAUUUCUGUUCUUUCAAUUUGUUGUUUAUUCUUCGCUUUUCUCACACUAGCUUAGCGACAUAGAGACAGCUCAUCGAGGUCUGGGAAAUAGUUUCAGCAGAGCCGCGGUCAAGUAUAAUAGUACUGACAAUAUGGUGAUUCAAGCAAUCGCCACUCACGAUAACCUUGAUAAGGAUGUCAAUAGCUUAUCCAUGAGAUUCCGAGAACGGUACUAAUGGCAUUUUCCUGAACUGAGGAAGAUUUUCAAUGACAAUUAUCUCUAUAUGAGAGUUGCAAAAUGUAUAGGAGACUAGCCAACUUUAUCUGAAACCAAACUUGCAGAAAUAACAGAAAUGAUU